rnacentral:lncRNA from 1 species
AUACUCUCAAAAAGCUCAUUUUUAUACAUCCAUGGCCGGACUUCCGUACAAAUUCUUCCCCACUGAUUUCUUCUUUCCUCCUCAAAAGUUUGCUGGUGACAUCGUACGAAUCGGACGAGCCAAAACAGCCCAAAACAACCACCAUCAACACCAAAGCAAUUCCUUCCUCUGCCACAAGCUUGGUUCCUAUUAAGAAAUGAAAUUAAAUCAAGGUACAGUUUGAUGAACUAGUUAUUUGAUAAAGACUGUUAUACGGAAAAUUAAAUCUCAUGAUCAAUAAAUUUAGUAUCAAUUUGUUAGAUCGAGUCGUUCAAAGUGGGAUGAGCAUUUGAGGGGCCUAAUUAACUUUUUUAAAGGCUUCUCAAAUAAUAACAUCAAAGAUUGUUGUGCAAUGUAUCAAAUUACUUUAAGUGAUGUUGUUUACAGCAGUUAUGAAUUAUUGUUUAUGAUUUGGUCGGAUUAUUAUUUUCCAAGAAAUUAUGAGAGGCAAGUAGCCAAAAUUGGGUCACCAAAUUGAAU